UUUUUUUUACUCACACAUCUAUUGGGAUCUGACUAUCAAAUAUUUUUUAUAAAAAAGUUAAAUCCCUAAAGUUCUCAUCCACCUAUUUGAAAAAAAUAGAACGUUAUUAAAAAAAACAACUUGGUAUUCUCUUCCAUGUCGUGUAUGCACAAUAGAAUCAAGAAAAAAUUACUAAUCCUGUAUGCCUUACUACUGAUGAGGCAUGUGUAUAAAACUUAGAAAAUAACAGACCAGUGCACACCAAAUGUGUAUAUAAAAAAGUGACGUUUACAAUGUCCACUUAAUACAUGGGAUUUAAUGUUAAUAUUUGUACUAACUGGAGGAAACAAAUUGUCAGUAAGGUAAGAAAAUACAACAAAUGUAAAUAUUAUUUGGUACUUGACAUUUAUCACCAAAGUGUCUGCUCUCUUCUGCAGUUUUAAUUGUCUGGAACAACGUCCCAGCUAGGAAAUUUCAAUUCAGGGAGUUGAUCUUGAUCAGUGGGGAUGCGUCAUUAAAAAGUCAAGACAGGUGAAUUUGCAUAGCCAAAACUUUACUCUUCUUUCAGUUGUUUAAAAUAAAAGAAAAAAGUGGUCUGUAGCAGCUGUUUUGACAAAAUUGACCCAAUUUGGAGUGGUGGGAUGUGCUAAUUUAUUUUUGAAUAUCAUUAAGAUUCCUGCUACUCUCCAUCAAAUACACCAAAUAACAAAUGCCUAUAUUUGAACUGUAAAUUCCCUUGUUCUUACACUCUAGCACUGGAAUUUAGAUAUUGACUUCCUAAUGUAUAAAACAGCAGAUCCAUUUUUCUUCAAAAAUAUGUAGCCAAGAAUACUAUAACUUACGUUUUUAUAAAAGCUAUGCAAACCUUUACAGUUUUUGUGUUUUUCCAUUAAAAAAUGCGUAGUCACUGUUUAGCAGUUUUAUCAAAUGCAUUUUAGUUUAGUGAAACAACUCUUCCAGUGUGUAAAAAAAAAUAAAUUAAAAAAAAAAAAAAUUCUAUGGAACGGACAUUGGCCUUAGAAAGAAAUGUUUAUUAUCCUCAGAAUCCUAUUGCGAGGACUGUAAUAUGUCAAAUUACCACCUUGGAAAGUUCACUGUUUUAUAUAUUGAAUACUGAGCAAUUGUACUAAUCUGCAAUACAUUAAGGUCUUCAGAAAAAAAAGUUGUGGUUUUGUUUAAUUGGUCACAUUACUUAUGCAGAGCCUAAAUGUAGGCAGACUAUUGCUAGAGAACAUGUGGGCAGUUGUUUAGGUUUCUAUAACCCCCUCCCGUUUAAGACUAGUGACGUUGAUGGGAUUGCCUUAUCUCAAUGUUUUGUAGUUGAUACGCUUUGGACUCAGUUGGCAAUAUACCUAGUCAUAUCGAGAAAAUCAAUUUGUCUCCUGCCCUUUAGAAGUGGUUUACAUAACCACAGGCUGCAGUUGUCAGAAAAAAAUGAAGGGUGAAAUAAUCUUUAUAUAUUCUUGAGGCUUGUCCAAAACACUGUGUAUAUGACAAGCCAUAUCUGCACCACUAAGGUACGGCAAGCUAGUUACUCUUCAGUUAUUUUGGAUGUACAACUCUCACUAUGGUCUCCCAGCCUAAGAGCUCCUCUGGGGCUAACCCCAACCUAAUGUGUAUACCUAUUUGGAUAAUCAAUGCAAAUUCUGUUUUUGGUUUACCAAAAUGUACACUCUAAAAUUUGAAGAAACCAGCACCAUGAAAAAUGUGUUUAUUUGAAAAUGUUUAUAAUGGUAUAAUUGAAUUUCUAAAACUUUAGGUUUGAAUUCUAGUAACUACCUGGAGAAAACUUACAGCAAUGUACCUUUUUCUCCCAAGUUUGGUACCAUGCAUGUAUUUUUAUGUUUGCUUUUGUCAAUUAUCUGUUGGAUCUGUCAGUGUUUUAAAUUUAACCAAGAUCUUGCAUUGGAGGAAGCAAAAUAUGGAUAUGCUUGCAUGGUGGUGAGUUUCGAUGCUCUAAUCUUUGUCCUGACUGCCUAGAGAAAUUAGCCUCUAGCUCCCACUGAUACCAGUGCUGCCUUGCUCAUCCAUUAAAUUGCCUAAUUCACUUAAUCGUGACAUCCUAUCCUAUUAGAUGAGCUGCUCUUAAAUUUGAGUCAUGAGUGGACAAUUUAUUUUUAUAUAUAUAUUUUAUUUUAUUUUAUUGAAGGUCACCAAAUCACAGUGCACUGUUAAAACAUGGAUGCUGAACAAUUAUGCAACAAGAGUGGGGAAAGGUGCUUAUUUUAAAGACUGACAAAACUGUUUGCAGAAUAUGGCACAAGUUGUUUGUGUUUUGUACACCUGCUUUUUAGAUUAAUUUUACAGCAAUAUCUGUUGGAUGAGAGUAUUUUUAUCCACAGGAAGCAAACUCAUUUAAAUCUGGUAUUGAUAGCAACUUGGAAAUGUAUAGUAGUGUGCAGUCCCCAAGCAAGAAUUAAUGAUGAUUUCCAGAAAACUGACAACUUUUAAGUAUAAAACGUAUCAAAAGGUUUCUAAAAAUGAAAAUGUGUUAUAAUUUUUAUAAAGUAUUUUAUACUGCAAUGUGGUAUUUAUGUGAACUGGUCAGGCAACAUUCUUUAAAUUGCCCCAUUCUCACUGCACUUUAUCAUUUUUCCUUCUACCCUCUCGGAUAAGAAGCAAAGCUAAAUAACAUGUUUGCCAUCCUUUUUCUGGCAUGUCUGUUGAACAGUGGUGUUUGCGGGAAGUUUAUCUUGAUUCUUUUUGGGAUCUCCAGUUUGCCUCAUAUUUUAUGGUUUUCAUAAAUUCAGCAGGGGAAAAUGUUUUCCCAAAUAGCUUAAAAUUUAUGGGGGUAAACUGAUUUAAAAAUAUGUAUAAAUGCAUUUAGUUUUUUUUUUUUGUUUUUUUUCCCCUUCUAGUUUCGAGGUGCAAUGGGGAUAAACAAAUGUUUUGUUUUUUUUGCUUGUAUUUUUAUUUUACUUUCGUUACUACAGGCAAAAGAAAUGUUUUUCCACUUAAUUUUUCUGCUCCAAUACUGUCGUACAUUUGUCUAUGUAUAUUGCUCAAUUAUUUUAUUUUGCUUUUGAGUUGAUAAUUUUUUUGGGGGGUGGGGGGAAUUUGGCAUUUUCUUGGAUGGGAGGAAAAAUAAAUGUUUUAAUUUAAUGUA